GCCUGGCUGGCUCAGUCGGUAGAGCAUGUGACUCUUGAUCUCAGGGUCAUGAGUUUGAGCCCCAUGUUGGGCG